rfam:Triticum aestivum genome assembly, contig: Triticum_aestivum_CS42_TGACv1_scaffold_177148_2DS
CACAUACUCCCUCCAUCCCAAAAUUCUUGUCUUAGAUUAGUCUAGAUACGGAUGUAUCUAAUACUAAAAUGUGACUUGAUACAUCCGUAUUUAGACAAAUCUACGACUAGAAUUUUGGGACGGAGGGAGUACCUU